GAAUAAUCUUCAAAUUAAUGUAUUGUCAAGAAUCGUUUACAGAUUUUACCAUUUAAAUUUCACAGGAAAUCUUUGCAUACUAUGUAUAAUGAUAUUCAAAAUCACAAAUAUUUAUCAAGUUAAAGGAAUAAAGUGUUCACAAUGCUCAACUCUUCAAGAUCCUCUAUGCAUAACCAACCCACCUCGCGCUAUAGAAUGUCCCAAUUUAAUAUUCCAAUAUUGCUUAACUGUAGUCGAAACAAACUUAUCGGAUUGAUUCCUAACUAACUAAGUACACACUACUGCUGAAACCACAAAUAAUUUAACCCCAAAAUUUUACUGAACAAGCCUGCCUCUCAUCCCCUACUUCCGUGAGAUUUUUUACAACACUUCAUCUUAUCAUAGUCAUGGUGGAAGCCGUGUCAAUGAGUCCUGAAACGAAAUGCAUUCUUUAAAAUUUAUCAUAUAACUUUACAACGCCGCACUCACUUGAAUAAAUCCUCUCAUCAAUAGAUGUUGUCGCUACCAUACCUAACCAUCUUGAGCCCAUCAACCAAACCUAUCGCAGAUAGAUUAAGAUAUGGCAGAAUGACUACAAUUCGGCUCUCUCAUUUCUUAUACUCGAAGUUGCAGUCCCGAAUAUUUUCCCACAAAAUGUGAAAAUCUAAAAUCAAAUACAUUACACCUUCAUUAUCUAAACGAUUCCCUAUUAUUUAAAGAACCAAAAGUUAUCAAUAUUUGCGUCAAAUCGUGUCCAACUAAUUCAUGCAACUCUUUGCCCUUAGAUCAGACAUCCCGUGGUCCAUCUCGAUAUCAAACUAAUAAUAACUUAAUUCUAUGCAUUUUAUACAUAUCUAUA